CAUCAUUGAAACACUAGUUCCCAUAUGAUCACCAAAGUCAAGCAACAGUGAGAUUGGUCAGUACCUAGAUGGGUGACCACUUGGGAAUACCAGGUGCUGUAA